CCUACGGGUGGCAGCAGUGGGGAAUAUUGGACAAUGGGCGAAAGCCUGAUCCAGCCAUGCCGCGUGUGUGAAGAAGGCCUUCGGGUUGUAAAGCACUUUCAGUGGGGAAGAAAGCCUUGGGGCUAAUACCCUCGAGGAAGGACAUCACCCACAGAAGAAGCACCGGCUAACUCCGUGCCAGCAGCCGCGGUAAUACGGAGGGUGCGAGCGUUAAUCGGAAUUACUGGGCGUAAAGCGCGCGUAGGCGGUCUGAUAAGCCGGUUGUGAAAGCCCCGGUCUCAACCUGGGAACGGCAUCCGGAACUGUCAGGCUAGAGUGCAGGAGAGGAAGGUAGAAUUCCCGGUGUAGCGGUGAAAUGCGUAGAGAUCGGGAGGAAUACCAGUGGCGAAGGCGGCCUUCUGGACUGACACUGACGCUGAGGUGCGAAAGCGUGGGUAGCAAACAGGAUUAGAUACCCUUGUAGUC
rnacentral:rRNA from 1 species